rnacentral:misc_RNA from 1 species
GAUGAAGAACGUAGCGAAAUGCGAUACGUAAUGUGAAUUGCAGAAUUCAGUGAAUCAUCGAAUCUUUGAACGCAUAUUGCGCUCUCUGGUAUUCCGGAGAGCAUGCUUGUUUGAGUAUCAGUAAACACCUCAACUCCCCUUUCUUUUUUUGAAAUGGGAGCUGGACUUGAGUGAUCCCAACGCUUUUCUCACCGAAAAGUGGCGGGUUACUUGAAAUGCAGGUGCAGCUGGACUUUUCUCUGAGCUAAAAGCAUAUCUAUUUAGUCUGCCUAAAAAACAGAUUAAUACCUUUGCUGCAGCUAACAUAAAGGAGAUUAGUUCUUGUGCUGACUGAUGCAGGAUUCACAGAGACAGCUUCGGCUGGCCUUUGUAAACUCGAUCUCAAAUCAAGUAAGACUACCCGCUGAACUUAAGCAUAUCAAUAACGGAGGA